CCGCGUGAGUGAAGAAGUAUUUCGGUAUGUAAAGCUCUAUCAGCAGGGAAGAUAAUGACAGUACCUGACUAAGAAGCCCCGGCUAACUACGUGCCAGCAGCCGCGGUAAUACGUAGGGGGCAAGCGUUAUCCGGAUUUACUGGGUGUAAAGGGAGCGUAAGUGGCAUGGCAAGUCAGAAGUGAAAGCCCAGGGCUCAACCCUGGGACUGCUUUUGAAACUGUCAAGCUAGAGUGCAGGAGAGGUAAGUGGAAUUCCUAGUGUAGCGGUGAAAUGCGUAGAUAUUAGGAGGAACACCAUUGGCGAAGGCGGCUUACUGGACUGUAACUGACACUGAGGCUCGAAAGCGUGAGGAGCAAACAGGAUUAAAUACCCUGGUAGUCCACGCCAUAAACGAUGAAUACUAGGUGUCUGGGAUUCGAUUCUCAGGUGCCGACGCURACGCAUUAAGUAUUCCACCUGGGGAGUACGUUCGCAAGAAU
rnacentral:rRNA from 1 species